GUUCUCGCUUCGGCAGCACAUACACUAAAACUGGAACGAUACAGAGAAGAUUAGCAUGGCCCCCUGCACAAGGAUGACAUGCAAAUUCGUGAAGCAUUCCAUAUUUUA